rnacentral:rRNA from 1 species
UACGAAGGGGGCUAGCGUUGCUCGGAAUCACUGGGCGUAAAGGGUGCGUAGGCGGGUCUUUAAGUCAGGGGGGAAAUCCUGGAGCUCAACUCCAGAACUGCCUUUGAUACUGAGGAUCUUGAGUUCGGGAGAGGUGAGUGGAACUGCGAGUGUAGAGGUGAAAUUCGUAGAUAUUCGCAAGAACACCAGUGGCGAAGGCGAGUCUCUGGACAUUUCCUGACGCUGAGGCACGAAAGCCAGGGGAGCAAACGGG